rnacentral:misc_RNA from 1 species
CACCACUCAAGCCUGGCUUGGUAUUGGGCGACGGGGAGACCCGCGCCCGAAUGUCUCCGGCGGGACGGCUCCGAUCUCAGCGUUGUGGCACCCAAGUCCGCUGGCGAGAGGGGGCGGCCCGGCCGUUAAACACUCCAUCAAA